UAGGUUGCAUGGUUAUCACAGCGGUAAGGAAGAUUUAUGAAGCAACUCCGACAGAAGGACAUAGUGACGUCGACAAGGGUGGUGAUUUACAGUUGUUGUAUGAAGAUGAAGUGCUUAUGGUGUAGUGUUGCUUUGUUGAUAUGAAGAAGUUGUGUUUAUGAAGGUGGUGAGAAUGUGAGGAUCAUGGGGUAUGGUGAUGGUUAUUUGGAGUGAAGGGUUGAGAGAGUUAUGUUAAUGGAGGAAUAAUGUGUGUU
rnacentral:lncRNA from 1 species